rnacentral:rRNA from 1 species
UACAGAGGUCUCAAGCGUUGUUCGGAUUCAUUGGGCGUAAAGGGUGCGUAGGCGGCGUGGUAAGUCGGGUGUGAAAUCUCGGAGCUUAACUCCGAAACUGCAUUCGAUACUGCCGUGCUUGAGGACUGGAGAGGAGACUGGAAUUUACGGUGUAGCGGUGAAAUGCGUAGACAUCGUAAGGAAGACCAGUGGCGAAGGCGGGUCUCUGGACAGUUCCUGACGCUGAGGCACGAAGGCCAGGGGAGCAAACGGG